AGAGUUUGAUCCUGGCUCAGAAUAAAUGCUAUUGGUAUGCUUAACACAUGCAAGUUGAAUGUUUGAUUUUUAAACAUAGCGAACGGGUGAGUAACGCGUGAAUUAUCUACCUUUUAAUUCAGAAUAAUUAUUUUAUAUAAAAAUACUGAAUAAAUAAAUUAAAGUUAUAAAACGUUAAAAGAUGAGUUUGCGUAAGAUUAGGUAGUUGGUAGUUUAAAAGACUACCAAGCCGACUAUCUUUAGCUGGUUUGAAAGAAUGAUCAGCCACAUUGGGACUGAGACACGGCCCAAACUUUUUUAAAGGCAGCAGUGAGGAAUUUUGGACAAUGAGCGAAAGCUUGAUCCAGCAAUACCAAGUGAGUGAAGAAGGCUAAUUAGGUUGUAAAGCUCUUUCAUUAAGGAGGAAAAUGACAGUACUUAAAAAAGAAGUUCCGGCUAAUACCCGUGCCAGCAGCCGCGGUAAUACGGGAGGAGCGAGCAUUAUUCGGAAUGAUUAGGCGUAAAGGGUUUGUAGGUGGUUUUUUAAGUUGAAAAAAACAAAUUAAAGCUUAACUUUAUAAAUUUUUUCAAAACUGAGAAACUUGAGUAUAAAUAGAGGAUAAUGGAAUUUCUAUUGGAGGGAUAAAAUAUGUUGAUAAUAGAAGGAAGACCUAAAGCGAAGGCAAUUAUCUGGGUAUAUACUGACACUGAGAAACGAAAGCUUGGGGAGCGAACAGGAUUAGAGACCCUGGUAGUCCAUGCUGUAAACGAUGAGUGCUCAUAUUUAGAUUUUUUAGAUAUCAAGCUAACGCGUUAAGCACUCCGCCUGAAAAGUAUAAUCGCAAGAUCGAAAUUCAAAGGAAUUGACGGGAGCCUACACAAGCGGUGGAGCAUGUGGUUUAAUUCGAUAAUACGCGCAGAACCUUACCAACUCUUGCAAAUUUUAUUAUAAAAUAUUUAUAAUAAAAACAGGCGUUGCAUGGCUGUCGUCAGCUCGUGUUGUGAAAUGUUUGGUUAAAUCCUUUAACGAGCGCAACCCCUAUUGUUAGUUGCUAUUUUAUUUAAAAAAUAAAAGCACUCUAAUAAAAAUGUCAAUGAUAGGUUGAAGGAAGGUAGGGAUGACGUCAAGUCUUCAUGGCCCUUAUGAGUUGGGCUACACACGUGCUACAAUGAUAAUUACAGUAAGAGGCAAUAAUGAUUAAAAAUUGGAGCAAAUCUUUAAAGAUUAUCUUAGUUCGGAUUAUGGGCACUAGGCUCCACGACCUAUGAAGGGACAGGACAUGGUCAGGAUG
rnacentral:rRNA from 1 species